AUAUGUUGGGCAAAACUGAUGGGCUUUGCACUGAAUGCCAAGUCAAAGAAGAUAUAGAGCACAUUCUUUUUCACUGCAGGAAAUACACUGAUCACAGAGCAUACUGGAGAGAACAGGGAGGAGAUGAUAAUUUUCGAAACAUCUUGAAGGAAGAGGGAAUGCAGAGCAUUAGAAUUAAAGGCCUUAUGAAGUACUUAAAUGACACAGACCUGAUGAGCAGAAUAUAGACUGUUUCACUUUUUUUUUUUUUUUUUUUUUUGCCACGCCAUGAUUUACCAUGAUCAUAUCACACACUCCUGUGCAGUAGGUGGCGAUAUACAAGCUAUAUUGUGAACCGCCAUUACUUAAAAGAAGAAGAAGACCAGGGUUGAAAAUAUGAUGAUAAAGAAUGAGUUAAGGAAGCGCAUUAUAUCAGAGUUUCCUUACUUAUUCUUCUACAGUUCUCCAGAAAGCUCACUGUUUUAGAUUAAAGCCUGCAAUGCAGAGUUGGAUUUUUCAGUAGAGGACUGGAAAGCAGCCCGUAUUAAUGCGGUUCACACUCAGAAUGAGUGACAUCCUGUUCCCAGCCAUCUCCUGAUCCAAGGUUGGCAGCACAGUUUAAAUUUACCUCCAUAGGCUUGUGGAGGUAAAUUUGUGGAAACACCACUGAGAAGAAUCUGACACAGUUCUGAAAUCAGACGAGACGAGAAUCAGAGAAUAUGGACUCCAACACUCAGCAGGAAUCUUCUGAUAGUCUCCACCCAGACACAUCUUCCAAUCUCCCAAUGACUCUCGAAUGUCUCCCAAAGACACGUCCACCAAGAAAGAGACCCUACCACUGCUCAGAGUGUGGGAAGAGUUUUGUUGAACGCUGCCAUCUCCGCACACACCAACGUAUUCAUACCGGAGAGAGGCCGUUCCAGUGCUCCGAGUGCGGGAAGAGCUUUUCUCAGCGAGGCCAUUUCCACACCCACCUGCGCAUUCACACUGGAGAGAAGCCUUUUCAGUGUUUUGUGUGCGAGAAGAGAUUUAAUGAAGUCGGCACUCUCCAAGCACACCAUCGUGUCCACACUGGGGAAAGGCCGUACCAGUGCUCCGAGUGUGGAAGGAGAUUUACUAUACUGGGCCAUCUCCAGCGACAUCAUCGCAUUCACACAGGAGAGAAACCACAUCACUGCUCGGACUGUGGCCGGAGCUUCAGGCAUUCAAACACUCUAAAGAUGCACAAAUGCAUUAAGAAAUGAAAACUUGUGACAGUAUGUGAGCAAAACAAAUGAAAAAUGUAUAUUUGAUAUCCUGGGUUUUCUGGAAAAGAAAAAUGUCCAACAUGCUGCCUUUAUAUUUACCUUGAAUGUCGUAGGUGGUAAGGACAUCACACCUGAGUGGAUGGGUCAUUCCACUGAAUCUGUGCCAUUUCUGUCCCCAGGAAAUUACAUUUAUAAAUGUGCCCACAAAAUAUCUUUAAAAUACAUUUUAUUAUUAAGUAUAGUGUCUUGUACAUUGACUUAAUUGCAAAAGUAAUUAGUAAUUAAUAAAUUACUAAAACUACUUAGAAUACUAAAAAUAGCACUUGUUACCUGUCCCCACUCUCUAACUAUAAACAUUACCAUGAAAUAUAUUAAUUAAAAUCUCUCAGAGAUGUUUUUUUUUUGUUAAAAUACACAUUUUAGUUGUGUCCCUGGGUUAUAACUCAGUCCAGUUACUGUAACACAUUUCCCCAUCUAGAACAUUCUAUAAGUCACAUCUACAACAGAAAGUUACAUCAGUAGGUUCAUCUGAAGACCAGGCGAAGACCAAAAUUAGGUUUCUCUUUUUUUUUUUUUUUGUAUAUUCGAUUUCAUGUUUUUGCUAAUUCUGUGCUAAAACCCAUUCUUGUUACUGUCAUUCCUGUUACUCAAAACAUAAAAAAGUAACAGGAAUGAGUGAUUUUUGGUCAUAAAAUAUCUAUUAUUUGAACAUGCAGUCAACCAUUUCUUUAAAAUAAAGACUUUCUUGAGAGAAAAUCUAAGUAAUUAGUGGACUUGCUUUUAAACAUGCUUUUUCAUGAGUUUUGAAUUAAAAACCUUGUAACAAAAUUAAACAAAAAAAAAAUAAUUCACACUCAGAAUUUUAAGAAUCAAAAAGAAAAAAUGUAUGUUACUGUAAAUGUAAAAUAGGAAAUAUAUAUUUUUAAAUAUACUUGGUUACUUUAUUAUUCUUUGCAGUUAUUCGAAAAUUAUUUCUGUUUGAAUUUUGCCAGUCUUUGCCUUUAUGUUUGUGUUUUUUUUCUGUGGAUGUUUUUGGAUUUUGCUGUUAAAGGAAUCUCCCGUUUGCUUCUGCUUUAUUAUUUUGCUUGCGAUUUUUUGCACAGUUUUUACAGGUGGGCGGGGCUUAGAAGAAGGUGUUCCCCUUAAAUCUUCCUUGGUCACCUGAUUUUGGACUGACAGGUAUCCUGAACAUUUGUUUGAGACCUGCCACGCCCACCCCGCCAGCUUCAAGUGUUCCUCCAAACCUGGUAGAGCGAACUGGUUCCAGUGCACAGCAGCAGCAGAUACUUUUCCAAUUAAAUUUCAUACAAAAGUUAUGUUUAAUGUUAUACUUCUUCUUAAGUAUGUUUUUCACUUCAUUACAAAGCUCACGUUAGUGAGGUGUGCUACAAAACGUUUUAAGUUAUUUAUGCCUUGUUUUGAAUGUCAGGGCUCUUCGGAUACUACCAAGAAGAUGUGGAGUUACUUUGAGCCUGGAAAACAGUUUAGAAAGCGAUUUAUUGUGGCAAAACAUGAACCCGAUACUUUUUAUCAUGUUUCACUACACCAAAAGUCAAUUUUACACCAGAGUUCUCCUUGCUAGCUAGUAUGCUAGCUAGUUACCUAGUCAGUGAGCUAGUGAUUUAGCUAGUUAUUAUGCCUUUAGGUAAAGCCAAGUAGGUACUGGUACCUUAAGUAUAAACAUUGAAGUGUAUGAACUGUUAGCUAUAGUAAUAAAAAAAGGCUAAUCAAAUAAUGCUAACUAUUACCUACUUGACUUUACCUACAGGCAUAAUAAAUAGCCCACUAACUCAAUAACUCACUAGCUCACUGACUAGGUAACUAGCAUUAAUAUUUAGCACACCUCGCUAACGUGAGCUUUUUAAUGGAGUGAAACACUUACAGAAGAAAUAUAACAUUAAACAUAAUGUUUGUUUGAAAUUUAAUUGAAAAAAGUAUCUGCUGCAGUUGUGCACUGGAACCCAUUGGCUCUGCCAGGUCUGGAGGAACACUUGAAGCUGGCGGGGUGGGCGUGGCAGGUCUCAGAGAGGGUUUCAGGUCCAAAAUCAGCUGACCAAUGGAGAUUCAAGAGGAACGCCUUCUUCUAAGCCCCGCCCACCCGUGAAAACUGUGCCAAACUCAAGAGGUAAAAAAAUAAUAAAGUAAAAGCACCCCAGAGAUUCCAGAAAAAGAAAUAGAUUUCAAAUACCUGCAAAGAAUAAUAAAGUAACCAAGUAUAUUUAAAAAUACAUAUUGGCUAUAUUUUGUUUUGCUUUUAAAUUUGUCACAUACACAAAAAUUUUGAUUGCGGAUUAUAUUUCUUUGCGUAACACUUUAGACACAAAAUUCACUCCAUAAAAAAAACUUUUUAAAAAUAUUUAAGGAAUAUUUUAUCUUUAGAUCUGACAUGUAAUCUUUUACUCUAUGAAGUACUCACACUAACAGAUAUUUAGAGCCUUUUCCAUGCUGUUGUACAUUAGAUAAAUCAUCUAUAAAUAGCAAAACUAACUAACUGUAUAAACAGCUGAGCUGCAGGUUUAUGAAUACAAAGCAGUUCAUUUUUUCCUUUAGAAAUGAAAGCUGAAGUAAAUCAUGGCAUUAUAAUUGAUUUGUAAUAAAAAUUGUGGUAAUCUGGCUGAGAUAAGAAAAAACUGCAUGUUGCUUUAAGUAGCUAUGUGAAAUAGCUAUUUAGAAUAUGUGUAUAUGUCUUUAAUCAUAGCAGUUUUUUUUAUUUUUAGCUAAAUCUGCAUCUGCGUCAUAUUCUGAAAUGAAUAAUUUAACAACUAUAUGUAAAGUAUAAUAUUUUAUUCUGCCUUUUGCUGUUUUUUAUUUUUCAUUCCAAUCUGUGUUUAUUAGCUGAUAGGACUUUUUAAAUUAUAUACGUUAAUUCAUUUUUACAUUUUUAUUUUAAUGGAAAUUCUACAUUCAGAAUUCUGUGUAGUCAAAGACUAGCCUAAAUCAAUGUCUGAAAAUUGCCCCAUAGGUUUCAGUCCUCAGAUCUGGCCUGAUUCUGGUCAAAUUAAAGCUAAUUGUGCUGCAUAUGAGCUUUGCUGAUUAUCAGUGAAAUUACUGAUACUCUUUGAUUGUAUAGACUUCUCUUGUGUGAUUUGUUUCUGAACUUGAACAAGUCACUACACCUGAUUCAGUACACACAAGUCACUACACCUGAUUCACCACACACAAUUCACUACACCUGAUUCACCACGCACAAUUCACUACACCUGAUUCAGCACACACAAUUCACUACACCUGAUUCAGCACACACAAUUCACUACACCUGAUUCAGCACACACAAUUCACUACACCUGAUUCAGCAUGAACAAUUCAGCACACAAAAUUUAUUACACCUGAUUCAGAGACCCUGAUUCACCACCCUGAGCCUUUUUUUCCUAAACUAUAGUGUUAAGCGUUAAGUGUUACUAGAGAGAGUUCAGUGUGAUCUUGUUUUACCAAAUAAUCAAUGUGCUUAGGUCAUUACCCUUAUCGUCGUCAUUUUAGCGACUUAGUCCGAAUCAGGAGUGCAGUGAUAAUAUUGUGAGCAGAGAAGCUCAGCCGUCCCUGUCCCCAAAGCAUUCUACCAGCUCCUGCUGGCAGAUCUCCAGGCAGUGCUAGGCCAGCUGGGUCAUAUAACUCCUCCAAGGCCCAAGGAAUUCCUCUGGGUCUCUUCUCAGUUGGUCGUACCCUUAUUAGAUACACGAACCGCCUCAGUUGACUCCCCUGAAUGUGAAGGAGCAGAAGCUCCUUACUAUAGCAGAAAGAGUGAGCCCGGCUAACCGACAAAUAAAAAAAUAUUUAGGCUUGUAUCGGUGAUCUCAUUUUUUUUUAAACACUAAGAUGCUUUGGGUAACCCAGCCUUUGUAAUUAGCAGCUUCAGGAAGACUUUUUGUGCAAUUGCCAAAGUAUGCAUGAGAUUAGUGUUGUAUAUCUGACCUAGAGUCUCUAGAGAGGCUAAAGGGCACCUUGAUGAAGUUUGUAGACUCCAGGUCUGACUGAGUAGAAGUUCUGUGUCUUUCUUCCAGUAUUAUUAUACUGAUACAGAGUUGUACAGUACAAUAAAACAAUAUUAGGCUAAUUCAGUGGUGCAGUAAGAGAUAAGGGACAUUGAACAGUAGUGCAGAGACAACGGGGAAAAAAAAGUGCAUAAACAAUAAAUAUAAGUAAGCACAUGUACAAAUGUCUGAAUGAAAUCUGAAUGAAAUGUGUAAAGGUGAAGCUAUGUUACUAUUCUACUAAGGGUAGGCUGCAGUGAAUAUGUAGACCAGUAAGUAUACUCUAAUAAGUGUAGUAAAGUAUAUUAUAUAAAGGUAGACCAGGUUUGAGUUGUGACCAGUAUCACACAUGUUCUGUAAACAUGUGCUAGCUUGCAGGGCAAGUAAUGAGAAGUUUUAGCAUGGCAGCUAUGUGUUCGGGUACGCGGCCAACAAAAAACGCUCACGUAUGAAGGGUCACUGCUUUAGCAGAGAAUACAGAACAUAUAAGUGGGUGUGUAGUAGAGGUUCUAUAUUUUAUUUCACUUCUUAAAAUUGCAGUAUUUUCCUCCUGCAUCCAGUGUAAAGCUUCUGAAGGCCAGAUGGGGGAGCCAAUUCUAUGACUGACAAACCACACUAGUGGAGAAGAAGACCAGCAUUCCACAGUUCUGCUGAAGGAAAAGGGAUCUGGAGCUGUUCUGCUGAAGGUCAUCUUCUGGACCUGAUCAGGAUAUGCCUCCAAGAGGAACACUUUACAUCUGAUCAGGAGAGAUCAGAUUUAAAAAAAAAACAUGCCAUCCAAUGCUCAACAAACGACCCCCGGGGCUUUCUCCACUGGUUCAUCCUGUAAUCAUGUACAAGAAAGUACAGGAAAGGACAGAGCUCACCACUGCUCAGAGUGCGGAAAGACGUACAUUCAGCAAGGGCAUCUCAAAGUUCACAAGCGUCUCCACACUGGAGAGAAACCGUACUACUGCUCAGAGUGCGGGAAGAGUUUUAAUGAACUGGGUACCCUCAAAAAGCACUUCCGUAUUCACACCGGCGAGAAACCAUAUAACUGCCCUGAGUGCGGGAAGUUUUUUGCUCAACAGGCUCACCUCCAGCGACACCAGUGGACUCACACUGGAGAGAGACCGUAUCAGUGCUCUGAGUGUGGGAAGAGUUUUAAUCAACAGAGUCAUCUCCAACGACACCAGCGCAUUCACACAGGAGAAAAGCCAUACGAGUGCUCAGAGUGCGGCAAAAGUUUUAAUGUACAGAGUACUCUCUAUCUGCACCAGCGCAUUCACACUGGAGAGAAACCGUAUUACUGCUCCGACUGUGGGAGGAGCUUUAGGCAUUUAAACACUUUAAAGAAACACAAAUGUGCAAAGGAUGAAGCCCCAUUAGACAUCAUUGUUCAAUAAAAUUUGGAUUAUUUAUUUACAAUAUAUAUAUUUUUAUUGCAAGUGCUGUAGACUGAUUUUCUGAGCUAAGAAUUAUGAUUUCCGUUUUAAUUAAUUAUCAGGGGAUGACUAAGCACUUUAGUAAGUCUGUUAAGAGUGUCUGGUAGGUGCUUUAAAAAAAAAUGAUGCGAACACUCAAGUAACUUUGUUUUUGUGACUAUCCUGCUAUCUCCUUUAAUGCUAUUUAUAUUUUAGAGAAAGGAUCUGUUAUUUAGAAGAAGAGUACCAUAACAGUAUUUACAGAGUUGAAAAGCAAAUUAAAUUUAAAAAAUUGUGAAGAAAAGUAUUGUCUUUGAUUAAAUUACAUUCUGAGUUCAAAGAAUGUUUUGAUGUGUAUUUUGGCAGGACAAUCCAUGGUGGAUUCUUUCCUACAGGAACUGUGCAGGACAUCUGACAGUAUGUCUUACAGUACAGUGACUAAGAACUUUUUUAUUCAUGAUUAUGAGUCUUUACCAAAACAUUUGUUCAUUUUAUUUAUUUUAUGGAACAAAAAAAUAAUAUGCCUUUUGUUUUUCCUAGUAUUUUAUUAAACAUUUGCUUUAUACCAUAAUAUUUUGUUUGUUUGUUUUUAUUUAUUUUUUAGAAGAUCCUUCUCUGCAUGUA